CUGGAUUCUGGACAUAGCUCUCCUGACCAGACAGAGGUCACUAGACCAAAAAGAUGGGAGUUUUUCUCACUUCCAGCCAUCUAAUCUUCCAAUCUUCCACCAGUGACUACCACUAGGAGAGAUGACUCUUCACUAGCAAGAAAGUUGGCUAGAAGACGAAAGUCACUGGACUCUGGUGGCCCUGUGAAUGGCAUUAAGUUGGGUGAAGCCAGCUCUCUGCAGCUGAGACCAGCUCUGAAGAAGUUAAAAGCUGAAGACUGUCUGCUCACCUCCCCCGCUGCUGUUGC
rnacentral:lncRNA from 1 species